UACGGAGGGGGCGAGCGUUGUCCGGAUUUACUGGGCGUAAAGCGCGCGCAGGCGGUUCUUCAAGUCAGAGGUGAAAGCCCAGAGCUCAACUCUGGAAUGGCCUUUGAGACUAGAGAACUAGGGUACGGGAGAGGUGAGUGGAAUUCCGAGUGUAGAGGUGAAAUUCGUAGAUAUUCGGAAGAACACCAGUGGCGAAGGCGGCUCACUGGCCCGUUACCGACGCUCAGGCGCGACAGCGUGGGGAGCAAACAGG
rnacentral:rRNA from 1 species